rnacentral:lncRNA from 1 species
AUACUCCUUGUUAUUUCUUUUUUAGACUCUGAAAUAAGCCUGUUUGAUUCUUCGCUUUUGGAUAAUCUCGAUCAAAUCGGUAGGUCUGCUUCAUUCUUCUUGUCCCUCUUAACAGUUAAUUGUACAAGAAAAACAAAAACAGUAACCCUCUUUUUAACUUAUCAAACUUUUUCAGACAUAUCGGAUUUGGACAACUAUGUUUUUUCGAGUUCACCUAGUUCUUCGCCCAGUUCUUCACCACCACCGGUUUUAGAGCGAGCUACAGGCAAGAACAUCCGUCUCUCGACCCGCGAGAGACAGGCCUUGCUUUCUGCAAGGGCUUGCCCAGCUUCAGCCCCCCAGCGUCCCUCGGGGAAAAACCUGAAUCUAACCGCCUGGGAGAGGGAACAACUGUUCGCGGCACACGCUCCCAGUCCCCCUCUCAGAGCUUCAGCCCUCCAGCGUCCCUCGGGGAAAAACCUCAAUCUAACCGCCCGGGAGAGGGAACAACUGUUUGCGGAACACGCGCCCAGUGCCGGUGUCGGUCUCGGAGCUUCUCUUCCUUCACCGGGGCCAAGACAUCCACAGCCCCUGCCUCGGAGAUCCAAUCUAGGGCAUCUCACAAGGAGGCGUAGGAGGACCCGCAGGCCUGCCAGCACAAGGAGGACAAGGCAGAUACGUGUACGGCGAGAGAGACUUGCUUCCAUCGCUCUUCGAGCUGUAUCUCUGUUUGCUCAAUUAGUGCAACUCAUCUUAUAAUAAGGUUUUAUUUUAUUUUAUUGUUUUUUAUUUUUUUAUUUUAUUUUAUUUUUAAAAAUAUAUUCUUUGUUAAACAAUAAAAAAACAAUGGACAACCAGGAACAAGGUAUUCCAAACCCAUUUCUUGCUUUAGAAAUAGAGUUAGCCCGGUUAAAUGAAAAUGCACAUCAUUCACAGAAUACACCUCCGCAGAAUCAUGAACACCCUGAGGUGAUCAAUAAUAAUAACGAUCCUCUAGAACUGAUUGAUUUAGCUCUUGCACAACUAGCCCGUAGUGAAAGUGCCCACCAGAAUAACACUGAGAAUUUAGGAGUCGAGCAUGUUGAGGCUCAUUCUCAGCAAAACAUUGCCUCUUCUGACCCUUUCGCCGCUCUUAAUAGCGCUUUAGAGCCUUAGCACAAAUACAGUACGAGGUUCAAAUACCUCCAGAAUUAUUGAGUCAAAUAAACAGGUUAAAUGAAAAUAAUUUUAAUGAUAGUCAGCAUUCGCACAGCUCUAACCCAGGCGGUGAGUCUGUUAACCACAGUCCACCCCCAGCGGUGAUAAGCGGUUUCAACAAUAGUCCACAUUUGCUCAGUUCUCCCCCAGUAAACAAUGCUCGCGAACACUCCUUUCAACAAGGGGGUAAUCCAGACCAGAGCGGCGCCAGCAAUUCACCACAACCAUCUUUAGUUGUCAGAAAUAAAUUUAAUAACGUUCAAAUUAGAGAAAUUUGAAUUUCCCUCCUCCAAACGAUAUACCUGAUUAUG